AGUGAACGCUGGCGGUAUGCCUAACACAUGCAAGUCGAACGGCAGCACAGUAAGAGCUUGCUCUUACGGGUGGCGAGUGGCGGACGGGUGAGGAAUACAUCGGAAUCUACUUUUUCGUGGGGGAUAACGUAGGGAAACUUACGCUAAUACCGCAUACGACCUACGGGUGAAAGCAGGGGAUCUUCGGACCUUGCGCGAUUGAAUGAGCCGAUGUCGGAUUAGCUAGUUGGCGGGGUAAAGGCCCACCAAGGCGACGAUCCGUAGCUGGUCUGAGAGGAUGAUCAGCCACACUGGAACUGAGACACGGUCCAGACUCCUACGGGAGGAAGCAGUGGGGAAUAUUGGACAAUGGGCGAAAGCCUGAUCCAGCCAUACCGCGUGGGUGAAGAAGGCCUUCGGGUUGUAAAGCCCUUUUGUUGGGAAAGAAAAGCAGCAGGUUAAUACCCCGCUGUUCUGACGGUACCCAAGGAAUAAGCACCGGCUAACUUCGUG
rnacentral:rRNA from 1 species